rnacentral:lncRNA from 1 species
GGCAGGCGCGUGGUGCGGUCAGCACGGGCUGCGUUGGGCCUUGAGCAUCACUGUGAGGCAGAGCCUCAAGGCACAUAAAUGAACUGGAGGGAGACAAGAUGAAAGGAGAACUGAUUCCAAUUUCAUAUUUAAUUUUUUAGCUGGUGAAUGAGAUAAUGUGCUGAUCAUCUUUCCAGCUGGAAUGCUCUUUUACUGGUUUAAUGAGGGUCAUAGGAUUUUUUUUUUUCCUCAUAGCUCUUAUGUUUGACUUUCAAAUAAAGCAAAUGUAGUAAUAUGUUGAUUGUUUUCUUCUGCUUUUCUUUUUUGUUCUUCCCUUGCAAGCCCUGUGGGAUCACCACUUCAGUAUUCCAGAAGGAAGCAAUGGAAGACUUGUUACCUGUGAACAGACUUGUCCUAUGAACUAUUACAGCACUAUCAGUUGCCAACUCUCAGCCUUACUAAUACAAGACUGUUCCCUUUGAGCUGACAGCCUUGGAGGAAGCACCACUGACAUUUUAGAACCCAGGACUGUGUCCCUCGGG